UCCCAGAUGUUGCUGAAAUACAAGUCCCUUGAUUCUCUGGUUAUCUAUGUAAUUCAAAGAAUCAUGGGAGUUGUACUUCAGCAACAUUUGGGG